rnacentral:tRNA from 1 species
AGAGAGUUGCCGGAGCGGUCGAACGGGACGGUUUCGAAAACCGUUGUACCCAUUACGGGUACCGGGGGUUCGAAUCCCCCACUCUCUGCCA